UACGUAGGGGGCUAGCGUUAUCCGGAAUUACUGGGCGUAAAGGGUGCGUAGGUGGUUUCUUAAGUCAGAGGUGAAAGGCUACGGCUCAACCCCGAAACUGCCUCUAAUACUGUUGGACUAGAGAAUAGUUGCGGUAGGCGGAAUGUAUGGUGUAGCGGUGAAAUGCUUAGAGAUCAUACAGAACACCGAUUGCGAAGGCAGCUUACCAAACUAUAUCUGACGUUGAGGCACGAAAGCGUGGGUAGCAAACAGG
rnacentral:rRNA from 1 species